GACGAACGCUGGCGGCGUGCUUAACACAUGCAAGUCGAACGGAAAGGCCCUGCUUUUGUGGGGUGCUCGAGUGGCGAACGGGUGAGUAACACGUGAGUAACCUGCCCUUGACUUUGGGAUAACUUAAGGAAACUGGGGCUAAUACAGGAUAGGAGCUCCUGCUGCAUGGUGGGGGUUGGAAAGUUUCGGCGGUUGGGGAUGGACUCGCGGCUUAUCAGCUUGUUGGUGGGGGAGUGGCUUACCAAGGCUUUGCCGGGUAGCCGGCCUGAGAGGGUGACCGGCCACAUUGGGACUGAGAUACGGCCCAGACUCCUACGGGAGGCAGCAGUGGGGAAUAUUGCACAAUGGGCGGAAGCCUGAUGCAGCAACGCCGCGUGCGGGAUGACGGCCUUCGGGUUGUAAACCGCUUUCGCCUGUGACGAAGCGGGAUUGACGGUAAUGGGUAAAGAAGCACCGGCUAACUACGUG
rnacentral:rRNA from 1 species